CUCUUAACUCCAGUAAUUGAAUGGUCCAGUAAAGUUUGAAUGGACAAGAAAUGGUCAUCAAAUAGUGAACUUCACAAAUCUGGCAAGAAGACAACACAAGGUUUCCUGGUAGCCAAUUUCAAUAUUUAACUGCCACAUUCUCAACACUACCUUCAUUGAGGAGCAUAGCCCAGGAGGAAGGAACUGUGGAGAACUCCCUGUACUCUAUACAUGGCCUGAUUGCUGAGUAAUGCAUAGAAGUUGGUCUUGGAAGAUCUGAGCACUGUCUUGAAUAUGUGAUUCACCUGCUAUGUGAUUUGUAAGUGUCAUUUAAUCUAUCUGAACCUCGGAUUUCUCCACUGUAAAA